CUCAACUGAAUCAAAAGGCAGACGCUUCUUUCCUGUCAGGAUGCAUCAGGAGACUCUGGCUGAGACCUGUCGCUCUAUUUUCGGUAUACUGAAGCUCCAUUGGAAUCUUCAGAUCUGUAAUCUCAUACCGUUUGUUCUUUUUCAGGGUUAUCCGUCGGCUCCAGCUUGAAACUUUUCUUGUAGAUCCACAGUAGAAAAUUCCUUACUGGCAGCUGAUGAUUCCUGUUCGAGUUAUCGGGAGGAGUUCAAAUAUGUUCUUGGUUCGGUUCCCUUUCUGCAGCGGUUUGGUAACAUUACUUUACUAACCAUGGAAUGUCUUGUGUAUUCAGACCUUAAUGAUUUAACUCCAGUUCUUCUUGAAAUCCUUCCUUUUUGAGUGUUUUCGGUCUUCUAUUGUCUUAUCUGACCAUCAAUUGCAUGGACAUUGUGACUCUGUUUAACCCUAGAAUGAGAAUUGGGAUUUGGGGUUGAAUCGUAGUAUCAAUAGCAUUGAUUUUAUCCAUAGGCGGACUGAGGGGUAAUGACCAUUGUAUGAUGAACCAACUGCCACUGGAGUAACCUUGGAAAGAUAUGGUGACUUGAUGACUCAAAGCAACUGUAAAGGUUGCAGGAGUGCUGACCCAAAAUCAAAUUAUCCAAGCCCGUUGGGACUAAAGAGAAGAGACUGACAUGUAAUUUAUAUUUCAAGUGACAAGUGGGUCAAAUAUUUCACAUUAUUACAGAAAUAAUUAAUUGAGGAGUCAUGAUUAUUAGUUCAUCCUAUCUCAAAAUUAACACGUUAAGUGGAGACAGAAAAUGAGAAAAGAAUUAUGUUUUCUGUGUCAAAAAGUUUUUUAUAUGAACUUUGGUGAUGGGUUUGGAAAAUUCAACUAGUGAUGGAUCCAAAUUUCAGAAAUGAAUUAACUUUUUAAGAUAGGGAAUUCAAUUAUUGCAAUUUUCUUUGAAGCUAUCUAGACAGCUUAUGGAGAUUAGCAUAGAUCAAUGGCAAACUGCCUUGGUACCCUGAAAACUUAAGGCAAACUUAAGUCAAAAAGCAUAGAAUCUUGAGAGCUUCUACUAAUAUUAUUUGUCCAAAUUGAGGAUAUUACAUAUUUUUUAUGAGAUAUUUCAAUGCAAUUAUUAAAACACCAGCCUUUGGAUGUAAUUUACAUCUCUGCUAAUUUUACCCGGUUUCUGAGACCAACUAGUCCAUGAUCAUAUUAAGAAGUGGGUUGACUGCGAACACAUACUUCAAAGUAUAGUCAUUAUAAUUAAUACUCAUAUUCAACAACUAUAUGUGCCAUUUAUGCUGUUGUAGUAGAGCUGAAUUGAAGUAUUUUGGUAGCCUAUUCUUGUCUUAGAUGAUCUUUCUUCUUGUGGCUACCUCAGUUUAUAAAUUUUAAUCAAAUAUUGCUUCACAUAUUUAGACUUCUCCAAUGGUUGAGCUUGACAGCUAAUGACAUUUUGAGUGCAUAUUAUUUGUAAAUUUAAGCAUGUGGUUCAGACAUAUUUGUAUAUUGGAGACCAAGGCUUUGACACAAACCUUAUAUUGAAUGCAGAGAGAGAGUGACACCAUAAAUUUGUGGACUACUGUUUAUUUUUUAUGCUCCUUUAUUGUACGUUGUCCAUAUACAAGUCAUUGCUUACACUCAACCAAAUUUAGGUAUUUUGAACUGCCAGUGGAAGAAAUUAAGAUGGCUUGUCAUUUUGUCGUUGAACGUGCUGCUGUAAGUUGUGCUUGAAUAAUCAUUCAAAAAGGGAGUGAAUUGAAGUAUCUACUGCAAUAUGUAUAGUUUCCAUUUCAUAUUCCUCUUUUUCAGGAUUUUUUGAAAGGUGAAGAUAAGGUUUCCAAAAUCCUACAUUUCCAUUAUUUUGUUUGUUUGCUUCUUCCAGUUCUGAAACAAAUCAACCAGGAAGAGAGGGUUGAGCUGUAAAUAGAUGCAAAUCUUAAAGGUUGUAUGUGAUGAUUAUGCUUAUAUCUAUUCUUAUUGAUCCCUUUCCUGACCUCUUUCUGUGCUAACAGGAAAAACACCAUCCAACAUUCAGAUUCUUCAGGCAAAAUGAGGUAAUGAUAGCCAGCUUUGAUGGUACGUUGAAUAAUGGAUUGGAAAUUUUGGUGUAAUUAACAGUGCUUUGGAUUUUCCUUUUUUGGAAUUCUCAUUUAUUGUUCAAAUUCUGGAGCAGUAAUGACUGCAAAUAAUCCAUCUUGGAUUUCCAUAGAAGCUGCUCGAUUUGUUCCUAUGACCCUUGACUUAGUUGAGAUUCGUGAAGGUAGCCUACCUGGAGGAGUUGGAGUAGCACUGUUUGAAUACUGUAAUAAAAGGAAAGCUUGUGUUUGUCUACUGCCAAUCUUCUUUUAGCAAAGUGGUAGAAUAGGAUGAUCUGUCAUGAAAACACUGUUAAUACAUUAUUAGCUUCUUCUGCAACACUUACAGACUGGAAAUCUAAUGGUGAUAGCAGUAUAUCCUGCCUCCCAAGGAGUUUGGUGGUUGUGGUGAUAGCCUCCUUGACUUGUGAAGGUUUUUACCGUUAAAUUGGACUGAAGAACUGGAAAUAAAUACUGAGGAAAUAGCCUGCAGUUACGACUUUCCAGAAACUAUAGAUGUUUCACCAAGCUGUUCUGUAUGAACUGGCAUGCAUGGUAGAGCUGGGUAAAUUGGUGGGAAGUUGCAAGAAGCAGAGGCUAGAGUAGAUUCUGAUGAUAACUACUUAUACUGUCCAACUGUGGAGAUUCUUCAGCAUGAAAUCCUUGAACACUUCCAAAGCAUAAGAAUAGGUCAGCCUGUGAUAGUUCAUAAUGUGCUCCAGGAUACUUAAAUUUGGAGCUGGGAUCCUGUGGUCAUGUUUCAUACUUGUCUUGAAAGGAGUAGUGCCACACCUGGGAACGACAUCAAGACAGUGAAAGCUACAGAUUGCUUGGAUUGGUGUGAGAAAAAAGGGUUGGAAGACCUGCAAGGAACUUUUCUUUCCAACAGGGAGAUUAGCAUCAGGUCUAGUAAGAACUUUGGAGUAGAAAUAUAGUGGAUGACCUUAGGGCUUAGGCACUCAUUAUGGCAUCAUAGAGGAAUGGUUCCAAAAGCAAAAGAGGACAAGUUAUGAAGGAAAGAUGUUCACAGAAAAACUUGCACUUCACACUUAAUCACUUUGUGUUGCUAGAGACCUGGGUUGGUUUGCAUGUUCAAGUGAUUGGAGACAUUACUCAUGUGAUAAUAUUUCCUUGAUUCCAAAUGUGGGGGAGUUUUGGAGAGUGCUCUCUAGGAUGGCUGAUCUCAGCAUUUGCUCAUUUCAGUUUUUUGCCACCACCAUGGAUAAAUUUUGUUUCAAUUGUGAAUUCUGUAGUUCUUUUGUGCAUGUAGCUUUUUUAGUAGUCAUCUUUUCAUAUUA